rnacentral:rRNA from 1 species
UGGGGAAUUUUGGACAAUGGGGGCAACCCUGAUCCAGCAAUGCCGCGUGUGUGAAGAAGGCCUUCGGGUUGUAAAGCACUUUUGUCCGGGAAGAAAUCCCCUGCCCUAAUACGGCGGGGGAUGACGGUACCGGAAGAAUAAGCACCGGCUAACUACGUGCCAGCAGCCGCGGUAAUACGUAGGGUGCGAGCGUUAAUCGGAAUUACUGGGCGUAAAGCGUGCGCAGGCGGUGAUGUAAGACCGAUGUGAAAUCCCCGGGCUCAACCUGGGAACUGCAUUGGUGACUGCAUUGCUCGAGUAUGGCAGAGGGGGGUGGAAUUCCACGUGUAGCAGUGAAAUGCGUAGAGAUGUGGAGGAACACCGAUGGCGAAGGCAGCCCCCUGGGCCAAUACUGACGCUCAUGCACGAAAGCGUGGGGAGCAAACAGGAUUAGAUACCCUGGUAGUCCACGCCCUAAACGAUGUCAACUGGUUGUCGGGCCUUCAUUGGCUUGGUAACGUAGCUAACGCGUGAAGUUGACCGCCU